GAAGGUUGGAGCCACAAACCUUGCCAGGGAAAGCAUUCCAUGGGAGAACACCUAAGUAAGACACAAACAUCAACCAGGGCUUGCCUGGAAUUUCGCUUUGCUACAGAGACAUCUGGAAAUGUGGAUUGAGGGUGGAAAUAAAAUGAAGAUGUCUUGGAAACUUCCAACUGAUCCUUGGGUCUAAUUGAUGUGGGAUAUGCAGCAGAAGCGUGAGAAGCCAUGAACUCCCUUGACCUAGAGGCCAGCGUCCUCCCAUGGAUGGCCUUCAAAACAACUGGCUGGCAUAUAAUAAGAGGGGCACCUGUUGGAAGACUCCGGAGAAGGAAGGGCCAGAAAAGGGAUCCAGCCAGGUGACUGUGUCUCACUCAUCCCAGUGCCUUAAGGUUCCCAACUCCCUAGAAUCUAGUGUAUUCUCAUUGCUCUCUACAUCCCGACACUCUGCCUCAGUACCUCAUCAGCCGACCUUUCCUGAGGGCUCCCUACAGACCUCAUAAGGUCCCGGCUUUGGCAGCUGCCCAGGCCUCCUUCUUUCAAAGUCACUGCCCAGAGCAGCCUUUUAGAGAUGUGAUUCCACCCGCUCCAACAUCAUCAUCAUCAUGAUCAUCAUCACCAUCAUAUGCUGUCCCUUUCAGUGAAACCAGGCCAAGCCCUUCAUCUCUGGUUGCUUGACUGGUUGAAAGGUGUCACUCUGGGCUGUGGGUGAUACUUCAAAUCAAAGCUGGACUCCUAUGGAGCAGAUUGUCUAACAUUGAGGUCGGAGUACCUUCCUUGACAAACCGCCAGCAGCCAAGAUGGAGAAGAAGGGGAACCUUGGUGCUCCCUGAUGAGAGCUGCACAUUCCCAGCACUUUGCCAGACAUCGAGGGAAAUAUAAAGAAAUGGGAUAGUUUCCGGAUGCAACCUUUGUUCUGAGAGAGCUUACAGCCUCCUCUGGAAGGAAUACUACAGACGUUAACAAAAUGAAGAUUCAAACACAACUAACAUUGAGCACCUACUCUGUGCUUAUCCUGACCUAAGUGCACAAGCAAGCCAAAUGUCAGCAGAGUGUCAUCCUGUCCAUCCAGUUCAAAUAUAAUUGGUUCAAGCUCCAUCUUAUCCCUUACCAGGGAAGUCCAGUGUCUUCCUCAAGAUUUCUGAGAAUUCUGAGAGGGCUCAGAAUUCCAUGUGGUUCUGAAUUUGGGCUCCUAAGGAACUUCUGAUUUCGGUUCAUCUUUUACGGCCACUACCGUCCGAUUUCUUUUUCUUUCCCUUCUUUCUUUCUUUUUUUUUUUUUUGAAUCGAAGUCUCUCUCU